rnacentral:rRNA from 1 species
AACGAACGCUGGCGGCAUGUCUAACACAUGCAAGUCGAACGAGACCUUCGGGUCUAGUGGCGCACGGGUGCGUAACGCGUGGGAACCUGCCCUUAGGUUCGGAAUAACUCCCCGAAAGGGGUGCUAAUACCGGAUAAUGUCUUCGGACCAAAGAUUUAUCGCCUUUGGAUGGGCCCGCGUUGGAUUAGCUAGUUGGUAGGGUAAAAGCCUACCAAGGCGACGAUCCAUAGCUGGUCUGAGAGGAUGAUCAGCCACACUGGGACUGAGACACGGCCCAGACUCCUACGGGAGGCAGCAGUGGGGAAUAUUGGACAAUGGGCGAAAGCCUGAUCAAGCAAUGCCGCGUGAGUGAUGAAGGCCUUAGGGUUGUAAAGCUCUUUUACCCGGGAUGAUAAUGACAGUACCGGGAGAAUAAGCUCCGGCUAACUCCGUG